ensembl:lncRNA
AAAAAAAGAAAAGAAAAAAAGAGAAAAGAUAAAGAAAAAGAAAAGAAAAAAAGAAAAUAGAAAUAAAAAAGAGGACAGAAAAAUAUGAAAAAAAGAAAAAAGAAAAAAAGAAAAGAAAAAAACAGUAGAUGAAAAAAGAAAAAACAAAAGGAAAAACGAAUAAUGACAAGAGAAGAAAGGUAAAGAGAAAAGAAGAAAAAAGCCAAGUCAAAAAGUAAAGAAUAACUCGAAGGAAGGAGUGGAUGGCAAGAAAUACAGAGAAAGCAGUGCAUAGCACAGCAGAGCAAAGCAAGGCAAAAUAGCAGCCAAAGCCACGAGAAUCAAGAAGUCAGUGAAGAGCAGGAAAGGAAUGGAGGAAUCUGUCCAGAGCUGUGCCCCUGCUUGCCACAGGAGCUGCGCGGGAGGAGAAGAACGUGGGCCAAAAGGAAUGGAGGAAUCUGUCCAGAGCUGUGCCCCUGCUUGCCACAGGAGCUGCGCGGGAGGAGAAGAACGUGGGCCAAAAGGUAAGAGGAGCUCCUUGGGUUCUGGGCUUGAAGCAAAGCUGAGAAGCCAUGCCCGGGAGGAGGUGUGGGUAGCUACAGGCCACCUUGCUAUCUCCCCAAGAGAUGAGGUGCGUGGGCUAGGCACCGGGCAGGAGUGCUGGCCAGAAGCAAGCAUCUCUGUGGAGGAAGGCAAAGGGCG